GCUUUCCUUGUUUUGGGGUGAGUGAGCUACUCAAUGAACGUGUAGUGAGAGUAGCUCUGCUGACACCAUAACAACACAAAUGCAUCACCUGGGCUCCAGUCCAGAACAUGGUGCAAUUUUUGGAAAC
ensembl:snRNA